rnacentral:sRNA from 1 species
UUUUAGCCCUGAUCGCAACGACAUCCUUUUUUGUUUAGGCAAAAGCCAAGGAACAAAAAAGAUACAGUGAAGAGCGGGAAACAGC